rnacentral:lncRNA from 1 species
CACCGUAGAGGGGCCUGAACUCAUACAUCCUCGCCGUAGCUAAGGCUCUGCCCAUAUACUUUCGUACCCCAUACUUCUACUGUCAGACUUAUACCCACGACAGUUGGCGCCCAUCGUGGGGCAGGCGUCUAAGCGACUUCCGGCGAGUUUACGAUUUCAUCUUUUCAUCAUGUCAUCCGGCAGAGAUCUGUGCAUGGGUCAUGAGAUCCUCCUCGGUGCACUCUCCUUCAUCGCCGAUGAUUCGGCAUGGCUUCAGGAUACGCCCCUCGACAUCGAGACGCUUCCGAGUCGCGGUGCUACGCACUUCCGUGCCAGUUCCUGCGGCGUUCUUCUUCUCCAGCCAUCGACCCCGGUGUCGAUCUUCACCCCCGUCACGCACCGCAACAAGCGAUCCAGUCGUUCGCGGGUCCAGCGUUGGGUGCGACAUGCCCUAGCGCGACAAAACAUGUCCUCUCAAGUGGCGGUGCUCGAAUCGGUUGUGGUCCCGCCGUUAUCCCAGUGCUUGGAGUCAGUUCCGACUGAACUACCUUCCGAGUAUCAGGGUCACGGGCCUGCAGCCGAAGUACUCAUGACCGAUUCCCACGAAAGUCCCCUCGGGACUGGUCGGAACGAGCGUGAGUUCGGAGAAUCAUCCGGCGCUCGUCGUCAACACCUUUGUUCUUUGAGUCGACGCACUCGCCAGAGCAACGUCGAGGUGUUCCGUACACCCAUCCUCAACUUGGCUGCAGCCGCCAAGAUAGCUGAUUCUCUCCAGCCGACUGAUUCGGAGGCUGGUAGAGGAAUCGAGCAGAUCCGUGCCUUUUUACAUACGGUGUAGCAGCAAAACUCGGCGGUCUCCCAGUCGCACAACAAGAUCCACAACAGUUCCGUUCAAGCAAACACACAUCGAUCGGUUUUCAGUCCCGACUCUCACCAGCGGCGCAGAGGGGGCAGCCGUUCCAGGGACCCGAGUCGGAAUCCGCUUUCCAUUCGGUCUCAUCCCGAAGAUCGUCGCCGUUCGCGUACCCCUGUGCAGAGUGGGUCUUACGGACCCCGGCAUUACGAUGCUCAUCGUUCGGGCGGUGGCGCGCAUGAUCCAAGGCCUGAUGCAAGAGGGUAUAUCACUCAGAAGAAGGUCGAUAGAAGUCGAGCCCACCGUGAUGGUCACGACAGAGACCGUCCGAGUGGAAGCAGGACCGUUGUUUCUGGUCCCGAGUGCUUCAGUCGGGCCAUCCGCUCGGCUGACAUCCCUCCCAACUUCCGAUUGGCGACGGGAAUCAGCAAAUUCACAAGAGAGUCCAAACCAGAAACUUGGUUAGACAACUACAGAGUGGCGGUCUAGAUCGGUGGCGGAGAUGACCAUGUCGCCAUGAAACAUCUCCCACUGAUGCUCGAUGGUUCGGCUCGAGCCUGGCUAAACCAGUUAGCUCCAUCAAGCAUUUACAGUUGGGCAGAUCUGUCCCGAGUCUUCAUCAGGACCUUCGAGGGUACGUGCAAACGCCCUGCUGGUCUCAUAGAGCUUCAGCACUGUGUCCAGAAGCAAAACGAGCCCUUGCGCGAUUUCAUCCAGCGCUGGACGACCCUCUACCACACGGUGGAGAAUGUUACAGAGCACCAAGCAGUCUGCGCCUUCAAGGCAGGCAUUCGGUACAAAGAUCUAUACCUGAAGUUUGGUCGGACAGGCGACAUCUCCAUGAGAAAGAUGAUGGAGAUAGCCGCGCGCUAUGCAAAUGGCGAAGAGGAGGACCGCAUACGUAGCGGCAAGCAUAAGUCAGUCGCCGACGGAGAUGGGAACAUCAGUCGGAAGCAGAAACAGAAAGCUCAAUCCACUCCGCAAGCAGAGGCGGCAGUCGUUACAAACGCUAAGUUCAAAGGCAAGGGGAAACAACAGUACACCCCCAAGAAGAAACAGUCAGGAAAUUCCAUCCUAGAUCAACCGUGUCCAAUCCACACGAAGACGGAUGAAGAAGGCAAUGUCAUAUUGCCGAAGCAUACCACUCGGCAGUGUCGCCUCCUGAUCCAAGGAUUCGGUGAAGGACAGUCGAGUGAGAAAGACACCGAGCAAGAGGAUGAGGACAAGGAGGAUCCGUUCCCUCAAGUCCAUGCAACGAUAAUAAUUUUUGCUGAUGUAGAAAGCAAAAGUCGACUGACGCUGGCCAACAGGGAAGUAAACAUGGCAACCCCAUCCACUCCCACGUUCCUCAAGUGGUCACAGACUGCAAUCACCUUUGAUCAGUCAGACCACCCAGCACACAUACCCACCCCAGGGAGGCAAGCUCUGGUCCUCGACCCGGUGGUGGAAGGAGUUAGGCUGCGCAAAGUCCUCAUGGACGGCGGCAGCGGCUUGAAUAUCAUGUACGCUGAUACUCUCAAGGGAAUGGGCAUUCCGAUGUCUAGACUUAGCGAGAGCAGUAUGCAAUUCCAUGGAGUCGUCCCAGGAAGAAAGGCCAAAUCACUCAGCCAGAUUGCGUUGGAUGUCGUUUUCGGCUCUGACAAGAACUUCCGCAAAGAGAAGUUAACAUUCGAGGUGGUAGACUUCCAGAGUGCAUACCAAGCCAUUCUGGGCCGUCCGGCAUACGUACGUUUCAUGGCCCGUCCAUGUUACGUAUAUUUGAAGCUGAAGAUGCCUGGCCCCAAAGGCGUGAUUACUGUCACAGGCAAUCGGUAGUGGGCCGAGGAGUGUCUGCAGUAGGGGUCGAGAAUUGCAGACCAGCAGAUGGUUGUACUCGAGUUGGAUGAGUACAAGAAGAUAGCCGACCCCGCCGACCUGAUGCGUUCAAAGAAGCCAGCUUCCGAGUCCGCAUUCCAGUCGGCGGGAGACACGAAGAAAGUAAGCAUCCACCCGAUGGAUGCCGCCGCCGCCCCAACAAACAUCUCCACCACCCUUGAUCCAAAAUAGGAAGCCGACCUCACCCAAUUCCUCCGUGAGAACUGGGACAUUUUUGCAUGGAAGCCUGCUGACAUGCCAGGUGUACCCAGGGAGUUGGCUGAGCACCGACUGCAUGUGGAUCCUGCUGCUCAGCCCGUCCGAGAACGCCUGCGUCGGUCCGCCACGCACAAGAAGAAAGCAAUCGGAAAGGAGGUGGCUAAACUCCUGGCAGCCAACUUCAUUCGCGAGGUACACCACUCCGAGUGGCUUGCUAAAGUUGUCAUGGUGCCCAAGAAGGACGAGUCUCUCCGUAUGUGCAUCGAUUUCAAGCACCUUAAUAAGGUCUGUCCGAAAGACCACUUCCCGCUCCCCCGCAUUGAUCAAAUCAUUGAUUCGACUGCGGGUUGCGAGCGCUUAUCCUUCCUUGAUGCCUAUUCGGGCUAUCAUUAGAUCCGUCUGUAUGGUCCAGAUGAGUUAAAAACAUCUUUCAUCACCCCAUUCGGGUGCUUUUGUUACAUCACUAUGCCAUUCGGUUUGAAGAAUGCAGGAGCAACUUUUAUGCGAAUGAUCCAAAAAUGCCUCCUAGACGAGAUUGGUCGAAAUGUGGAGGCAUAUAUGGACGAUAUCGUAGUCAAGUCACGCAAAGGUUCCGACCUGGUGACUGACUUGGCAGAAACAUUCGCCAACCUACGCAGGUACGAUAUCAAGCUCAACCCAACCAAAUGUUCAUUCGGCGUCCCAGCGGGAAGUUACUCGGUUUCUUCGUUUCCGAACGAGGGAUCGACGUCAACCCCGAAAAGAUCGGGACCAUUGUUCGAAUGGAGUGGCCGGUAAGAGUACAUGAUGUACAAAAGCUCACAUGUUGCCUAGCGGCUUUGAGCAGGUUUAUCGCUCGACUCGGCGAGAAGGCGUUACCUGUGUACCGACUCAUGAAGAAGUCGGAUACCUUCGAAUGGACAGACGAAGCCCAAACCACAUUCGACGACCUCAAAGCCCUGCUCUCUACCUAGCCGGUUCUUACUGCCCCGCUCAGUAAAGAACCCCUUCUUCUGUACAUCGCGGCUACAAAUCAAGUCGUCAGCACCGUUCUAACAGUCGAACGCGAAGAAGAAGGCAAAGCGUACAAGGUUCAGCGGCCAGUAUAUUAUGUUUCCGAAGUCCUAACUCCUUCCAAGCAGAGGUAUCCCCAUUAUCAGAAGCUUAUUUAUGGGAUCUACAUGACUGCAAAGAAGGUGGCUCAUUAUUUCCAAGACCACUCGGUAUCUGACAUAUCUGAUGCUCCGUUGUCGGAAAUUCUCCACAAUCGGGACGCAUCAGGCCGAGUGGCAAAGUGGGCAAUGGAGAUGCUAUACUGCGACAUCAAGUUCAAAGCCAAGAAAGCUAUAAAGUCUCAAGCUCUUGCUGACUUCAUAGCAGAAUGGGUAGAACAACAGCAACCAACUCACAUCUACUCGGCUCAUUGGACCAUGUUCUUCGAUGGGUUCAAGAUGUUGAAUGGCUCCGGCGCCGGCGUAGUGCUGAUAUCCCCGAAAGGUGAUAAACUCAAGUAUGUGUUGCAGAUCUAUUUUGAUUCUUCCAACAACGAAGCAGAGUACGAAGCUCUCCUUUACGGGUUGCGCAUGGCCAUCACACUCGGCGUCCGUCGCCUGAUGGUCUAUGGCGACUCAGAUCUAGUGGUUAAUCAAGUAAUGAAGGAGUGGGAUGUAAGGAACCCCACCAUGACUGCAUACUGCAACGCAAUAAGGAAGCUCGAGAAGAAGUUCGAAGGUCUGGAACUUCACCAUGUUCCCUGACUGAAAAACCAAGCAACAGAUGAAUUGGCAAAAUUUGGAUCCACACGGAGACCUGUCCCGAGUGAUGUCUGCCUCGAGCACCUACACCUCCCCUCGGUAAAAGAAGAUCCUUUUACAGAGGAACCUGUAGAACCGAAGAGCUCAACAGAUCAUACUGAAGUCGAGGUUCCCGCUGUGGUUGACUUGGUCAUGGAGAUUCUAGCUGUCAUACCCGAAUGGACUGUGCCAUUCAUUGCGUACAUCCUGAGGCAAGAGUUAUCGAUACCUUCACCGUCAUUGAUGACCAGUUAUAUAGAGAAAGUGUUUCAGGCGUCCUUCAGUGUUGUAUCUCUCCUGAAGAGGGACAGUUAAUUUUGGAAGAAAUUCACUCGGGAACCUGCGGUCAUCAUGCCUCCUCAAGGGCAAUCGUCGCCAAAGCGUUCAGAGCUGGUUUCUUCUGGUCGCACGCAAAGGAAAUGGCAAAAGAUCUAGUCAACCGUUGCGAGGGUUGCAAGUUCUAUUCAAACAAGUCCCACAAGCCAACGUCCGCGCUGAGGACAAUUCCCCUUUCUUGGCCAUUCGUCGUGUGGGGAUUAGAUAAAGUCGGACCAUUCAGAAUAGGCCAAGGAGGAUUCACCCAUCUGCUGGUAGCAGUCGACAAAUUUACCAAGUGGAUUGAAGCCAAGCCAAUCAAGAAGCUUGAUGCCCUUACGGCCAUCAAAUUUAUCAGAGACAUCAUCGCUAGAUACGGGGUUCCACACAGCAUAAUCACGGACAAUGGCACAAACUUUGACUCGGACAGGUUCAAAGGUUUUUGUGUAGGCCAAGGUAUCCGAGUGGAUUUUGCAUCCGUUGCGCACCCCCAAACAAACGGACAAGCGGAGCGGGCGAAUGGACUCAUUCUUCAAGGGUUGAAGCCUCGACUCCUGUGGGAAGUUGGACAUGCCGCCGGCGCAUGGGUCACCGAGCUGCCUUCGGUGCUGUGAGGCCUCCGAACAACUCCGAAUAGAUCGACAGGACGAUCCCCGUUUUUCCUCGUUUAUGGAGCAGAGGCGGUCCAUCCGAGUGACUUGCUUCACAACUCUCCAUGAGUCGAACUCUUCUACGAAGCCGAAGUAGAGCAAGCCAGGCAAGACGGAGUGGACCUUUUAGAAGAGGAGCGUGAGAUGGCAUUGAUCCGUUCAACAAUUUAUCAACAAGAUCUGCGGCGAUUUCAUGCGCGGCACUUCAGGAGCCGCACGUUCCAAGAAGGCGACCUGGUGCUCCGAGUGGAUCAACAGAGACCACACAAGUUGGCUCGCGCCUGGGAAGGACCGUUCAUCAUUUCUAAGGUGCUGAACAACGGAGCGUAUCAACUCUACAACCUCGACAGGGAGACGGACGAGCCGCGAGCAUGGAAUGGAGAUCUACUGAAGCGCUUCUACACAUAACCACCGACAGAGACAAUGUAAAGAACAAAUGUCAUCAAAGUAAUACAAAGCGGAUUAAUUUCUGGCCGAUUCAAAAUUCUUCCACGUUUGCAGACUCCGGUCUAAAAAACUAACUCCGAGUGUGUACUAAAAGUCACACUCUGAGACUUAGCUGCGACCGAGAGUCUCCUAAGUAAAAAACUCGCUUCGAGUGUGCACCAAAAGUCACACUCGGGGACUUAGCUGCGACCCAGAGUCGCCUAAGUAAAAAACUUGCUCCGAGUGCACACGAAAAGUCACACUGAGAGACUUAGCUGCGACCCAGAGUCGGCUAAGUAAAAAACUCGCUCUGAGUGUGCACCAAAAGUCACACUCGGGGACUUAGCUGCGACCCAGAGUCGCCUAAGUAAAAAACUUGCUCCGAGUGCGCACCAAAAGUCACAAUCGGAGACUUAGCUGCGACCCAGAGUCACCUAAAUAAAAACUCGCUCCGAGUGUGCACCAAAAGUCACACUCGGAAACUUAGCUGCGACCCAGAGUCGCCUAAGUAAAAAACUUGCKCCGAGUGUGCACCAAAAGUCACACUCGGAGACUUAGCUGCGACCCAGAGUUGCCUAAGUAAAAACUAGCUCCGAGUGUGCACCAAAAGUCACACUCGGGGACUUAGCUGUGACCCAGAGUCGCCUAAGUAAAAACUCGCUCCGAAUGUGCACCAAAAGUCACACUCGGAGACUUAGCUGCGACCCAGAAUCGCCUAAGUAAAAACUUGCUCCGAGUGUGCACCAAAAGUCACACUCGGAGACUUAGCUGCGACCUAGAGUCGCCUAAGUAAAGAGCUUCCUCCGAGUGGGCACUCGAGUUACACUCAGACGCUUAGCUGAGUCGCCUAAACAAAAACCACGAGCCAAAAUCGUGUCAAAAAAAACUCAGCGAAAGAGGAGCAAAAGAUACGGUUCGAAUUCAAAUUCAGUUCUACGAUCAGUCGGCUCGGUGUGAAUCAAGUUUAUCCACACUGAGCCACGAAUGUACCGGCCAACAGCAGUGGCCAAAGUUUAAUACAAAUCCACUCGGCAUACCAGGUAAAUGCGCGUUCAGCAUAAAGUCAAUCAAGCAUCGCCGGGACUGGCAGGCUCCACGAGGGUGUCGAGGUCGAUUCCAUCUGCAAUCCGAGUGGCCGUGUCGAGGAAGGUCUCCAUGAAGUCUUCAAAUCGAAGCUUCUUGGUGUUGGCAACCUGCAACGUCUUCAGUUUGUCUUCACGGGCUUCCUUACAGUGCACUCGGACCAGAGACAGCGCCACGUCCGCGCCACACCGAGUGACAGACUUCUUCCAUGCCUGCACUCUGUUUGGAACAUCCUCCAGUCGAGUCAUCAACCCCUCUAUCUCAUUCCGGGGGUCAUCUUCAGGCCACAACUCUUUGUCAAUUCGGCCGACAACUCCUCUCAGGCAACCAAUCAAAGGACCCACCUUGUUAAGGCGGGAAUUCACUCAAAACAUGUCCCGGUUAGCUUCAUCACCGAGUGGAACAUUCGGUUGCCCAAGCGACCGUUCAAUUUCGGCAGUUUCGGCUUCAACGUCCCGACAGAAAUCUGCAAAGAAAAGACAGGGAGAAAAUAAGCGCGGAGUGAACUCCAAAGUCAAAGAGCACUCGGCAAGCAACUUACCACCAAGCAGUGCGGCCAUCUUCUUCGCCCAGUCGCCGACGUAGUUCUCCUGCGCUCUGCACCGAGUGUUCAUUAACUUCAGCUCGCCCAUCCAGUCAGAUCUCUCCUUCUACAUUUUUUCUACCUCCGCUAGUAGUGCCUUGUUAGUCUCCCAAGAUUCCUCCAAAGAUUUCUCUCGUUCAGCGAGAACCUUCUUCAUGCCAGCCAGCUCAUUCACAGCUACCUCCAAGUCGGCAGCAAGUUGAGUCUUCUCAGCCUUGAGAGCACUAUAGGCCGAUCCCAUUUCACAAGUCUUCUGUCAAAGAGACACAAAGGGAGGGUCAGCCAGAUUCAACAAGGAAAAAGUCUCGACAAAUAUGACAAAACAAUCAAAGCUCAAAAUUCUUCAGACCCCUGCCGAUGCAAGCAAUCGACAGCGGUCUUGGGGACUACACCCAGUGGGUUCACUGAGAGUGACCCCACUGGUAUGAAGCUCGAACAGGUCCAUCCCAUUGAGCUCCAUAGCAAACCAACAACACUAUGAGAUUACUAUUACUCGACCCGAGUAACACUACUCUCGGGGACUACACCCAGUGGGUGCACUCGGUGUGCCCCCACUGGUACCAUUCGGGCAGAUCAGCUCUGAUCUGUAGAGAUUAUGGAAAAUACAUAUAAAGACAAUUACCGGUGCAAGCACUCGACAAAAUUCUCGGGGACUACACCCACUGGGUUCACUCAGAGUGAACCCACUGAAAAAUCAACCUACUGUAUCCGAGUAUCUCGCUGAAACCCCCAGUGGGCACCAAGAGGAAUGUAAACACUUACUAGCGCACUUACUCAGAUAUCAUCCCGAAGCUCCAAGCUCUUCUUGUACAGGGACGCAAUGGAGUCAUAUGCUCCCUUGGCGUCGCCCACCAUCAGCUCCACUUGUACCAUGACGUCCUUGGCGGCUCCUACUUGAUCUUCCGGGAGGCGUCGGGCAUCAUAUUGAACAGCCGACGGACCCGGCGUGGCAGAAGGCGCCCUAGGUAUCCCGAGCUCCCUGGGCAUCCCGAGCUCUGCUCCAGUCGGUUCCGUCGUGAGGACCACCGUCUCAGUCGGCGGCACGUUCAUGGCGGGAUUGGUAGAAGGUUGGAUAACCCCAGGGACAGGCGCCAAAGCUGGUUCCGACCUCCUUUGGUCGUCGUCGUCCAGAUGGAUCACCUCCGAAGGAAGCCCAACUGAACAAAAUAAAAAUACAGAAAAAGAUCAAGAUCAAAGACAACACUCGCGAAACGGUAAUACAGCUCUCGGAGUCAUGACAACGUACCUUGCUGGGACGUGGCGGCGUUAUCAAUGUCCAUGGGAUCGUCACCCUGACGCGGCAGAGAGGUGGCAGAGGUAGCAGCUCUGUCGAGUGAAAUCCAUUCGACGGGUAAACAUGAAUUCCCAAAAAGAAGAGUCCAAUCGGAUACUGAAGGAAGAUGGAAGAGCAAAGAUACUUACGCUGAGGCGACCGAAACAGCGAUCCUCAUCCGGGGCAAAGCUUUCCGAGGUAUAGACCCGCUGGGUUUAGCCACCUUGGACGGCUGAUUCACGGGCUCGGCAGAAGCACCCCUCGUUCUCUUCACACUCCGAGCACUUGGGGCUGUUGGAAUUAUGCCCUAGAGGCAAUAAUAAAUAUAGUUACUAUUAUAAUUCCUGUAUCAAGAUAAUCGUUUAUUGUCCAUGCUAUAAUUGUAUUGAAUGAAGACUUAUAUACAUGUGUGGAUACAUAGACAAAACACUGUCCCUAGCAAGCCUCUAGUUGGCUAGCCAGUUGAUCAAAGGUAGUCAGGGUCUUCUGAUUAUAUACAAGGUGUUGUUGCUUGAUAACUAGAUCACGUCAUGUAACAUCCCAAAUUUUGGAAUGUUAAAAUAAUUAUUAGAUUGUUUGUUUGCUUGCUUGAGUGAUUGAAACUUGUGUGAAAUUUGAAACUUUUCAAAAACUUUUGAAUGAGAGGGAAUAAAAUGACUUUCCCCAUCUCCGAUGAAUUCAAAUUCAAUCUUCUAAAAGAAAAGAGAGAAGAUGACAUGACUUCUUCAACUAUAAAGAAUUUGAACGGAGUUUGCAUUUGAAUCCUUUCAAAAUAUUUGCCCUUGCUUCUAUAUUUUUCUUCCCCGACAAAAUGCCCCGAUAAAUUCUUGCACGCAAGAAAGAGCGGAGGAAAAUGACCCUCCAAAAACCAGGGCCAUUCGUUGAAAUAUUUUGAGCCAAGAAAAAACCAAAAUUUAAUUUGAGAAAAUAAUUGCAAAAACAAAUAAUGCUUUUAGGGAUUUUUUGGAUAAACAUUUUUUUUAAGUUUUUAGUUUGGCCGUGGAAAAAUGCCCAUCAUUUAGAUUUUAUUUUUCUGAUAAUUUUAGUAUAUAGAAACUCUAUAUUCCGAAUUGAUUUGAUUUCCCUUUUAUCGUUUUAGUUUCCUAUUUUGAAAACGGAAAGAAAUCGUGUUUAAAUGGAAAUAAACGGUGGCCCAUUAAGACCUUUCAAAAACUGACCCAACAUGAUCUUCUUCUUCCUCUAUCUCCUUCCUCACGUGCACAGGACUUUCCUUAGCCAUGGACAAGGAAAUCCUCCCUUCCCGAUCUCCCUCUCCCUUCCAUCCCAGCUCCUCCCGAGCCCCCUAUAAGAACCCACCCGGCGUCCUCGUUCCAUUUUCCCAAAGAGACGCCACCCUCAUCGCCUCUAGCCGCCGGCCACCUCGCCGGAGUAACCCUGCCCCGGUCGAGUCCAGGAGCUCCCUGCCGACCUCCCCAUGUCCCCUACCCUCGCUGCACCACACCCCUGCGCGCCCACCCCUCCUCCGCCAAUUCCCCACCGCGCCGGCGACCUCCCCACCUCACCGGAGCAGCUACCUCGCCGGAGUUCUUCCUCUUUGUCACCCAUGGUGAGAUUCACGAAAUCCCGUAUUGCAGUUUUUUCAGAAAAUUGCAAUCUUAGAAAAUUCAUAUCUAUUAGUCUAUAACUCCGAAUUAGGUGAUUCUUUUUGCGUUGGAUCACAAAUUUUAUGUAGUUUCUGUAGAUAUAUAAUUUGCCUAUGUUUGGAUUUAUAAAAAUUGAGUUAGAUCAGAUUUGAAUUAAAGCUUGUUUUGCUUAUUUUGGGAGUUUAAAAAUAGCUUUUAAUUUGAUUCUUUUUGCUGAUGCUUCGUAUUGAUCAUAUCAUUCAGUAGUUUAAGUUUCAUUUUUUUAUAAAUAUUUUUACUUAGGGUUUUAAGCAAAACAGAUUCUGUUUUAGCCUUUUUUGUUUUCUUGCUAUUUCUUUUGUAUUAAUUGUUCUUAAUUUGUUUUUUUGUAAUUGUGACAAGUUAUAUUUUGCUUUUUGAUAUUUACCAAUAACUUUUCAACAACAACAAAAUUUUAUUUUAUUUAUUCUUAUUUGUUUGCAUGGAAUCAAUUCUAGGUCUAUACUAACUUGCGAAUUGAUUGCAUUGCUAGUUUGAUUUCCUAUUUUGAAAAUACUUAUAAAAAUAUUGUUUUGUAAAUUUUACUUCUGUUAUCUUAGUUAUUUUAUAUUUUUUUUUCUGUUAUUUUUUCUAUUUUAGUGUUUGAUUUUCAGUUAGAACAAAAACUAUAUAGUGUUUGAUGUAGUAGAAGGCUUCCUAGCUUCUUUGAAGUUUCCUUUGGAUUGCUAGAAUGAUUGCUAGUGUGAGUGCUUAUGUGAAUACUAUGUUUGAUUAUAUAGAUUUCAUCGGAGAGUGACGAAUAGUUCUAUCACGUAUUUCCCGAGAAUGAAAAUUCUUCUUCGUCAACAUCACCAGGCAAGUCAUUUGAUCAUGUAUCACCUAUGUUUUAUGCAUCGUAGUUCUACUAUCCUAUGACCAAUUGCAUGCUGAGUAGGUACUUGGAAAUUAUGGUUACAUAUUGUAGUAUCAUGUGGUAGGCACCCAACAACCCCGUUAAUUGGCCCGGGACGACAAAUUUCAUGUUGCUAUGCUUGAGUAGACGGGAUUCUGGUUGAGAUUUUAUCACGAGUGAUGCGAGACUACUUUAAUAACCAAGACCGGUUAAGUCAAGACUUUUCAAGACCUCAUGAUGCAAUGCAACUCUGGGUGAAGGACGGUUGAUUGGCUCCCUGGAGAAACCAGUGGAUGACCCAGGAUGCUGGAGACGGCCAUGACAUCUUGCGGAAAGCUUCACCCAGGCUCAAAGAGACGGACGGAUAUUUUCAAGACCCAAGGCUUACCUGCACAGCCACAAGUCAUUAUGGGCUCUGGCUUGGUUGGACAACGCGGCGACUCUAGACAGGCUAUGCUAGCGGAUGUAGAAGAACGGUAGGAUUGGAUGGGCACCGACAGGGAUUCAGAGGGACCCGUUGAAAGACCAUGUUUUGCUCAUCCGGUCUUCAAACACCCUGUAGUGCGAGGACAGACACGGAGGCGAUCAGAUCUUGUGGGGAACGUGUGCAAAACUCUGCAGAGUACUCAAACCUAAUCGAUUAGCCGUGUCCACGGUCAUGGACAACUUGAGCCAAAGGAACUGAAGUUAUCUGAAAUUCUCAACACAAAUAACAAUAUUGAUGUGGGUAUUAUUGACAACAUGGGUACGAGAAUUGGUUGGUGAAACCAUCUCGUUAACAACCAACAAUGUAGUAACAUUUUGCUUUUAGCCCUCUCUUGAUGUAGGAGAAAACUUGCUUUCCGCUAAAAACUUAUAGCCCCACCUACCAUAUAUGCAUAUAGUAUAGAUGAUUAAUUUUCACCCCUCUCUUAUGUGACUUGCCGGCAUAUUCAAUAUGCUGACAUACACGGCUGCAACGUCUUAUGUUGCAGAUAUUUUUCUUCGACGAGUAAGAGUACGAUUCAGGGUUACGGUCUACACUCAACUUGCCGUUGGUGUUUAUUGGGACUCCACUCCCUUGACUGCUUCCGCUGAAAUAAUUAAGGUAUAUAUCAGUUUUACGCUAUUUACAUGUGAUUGCACUUUGAUAUAUACAUUGAUGUACUAUGUGUGCCAGCAUACUGAUCCAGGGAUGGCACAGAAACACAGAGGCUUGACUCGUCUUGAGUCGGGUCGCUACACGUCAUUAGGAGAAUCACGUGAUGGACUAGACCCAAACUAAUAGACAUAGCAUGUUGAUCGUGUCAUUUUGUUGCUACUAUUUUCUGCGUGUCAAGUAUUUGUUCCUAUGACCAUGAGAUCAUAUAACUCACUGACACCGGAGGAAUGCUUUGUGUGUAUCAAACGUCGCAACGUAACUGGGUGACUAUAAAGAUGCUCUACAGGUAUCUCCGAAGGUGUUCGUUGAAUUAGUAUGGAUCGAGACUGGGAUUUGUCACUCCGUGUGACGGAGAGGUAUCUCGGGGCCCACUCGGUAAUACAACAUCACACACAAGCCUUGCAAGCAAUGUGACUUAGUGUAAGUUGCGGGAUCUUGUAUUACGGAACGAGUAAACAGACUUGCCGGUAAACGAGAUUGAAAUAGGUAUGCGGAUAAUGACGAUCGAAUCACGGGCAAGUAACAUACCGAAGGACAAAGGGAAUGACAUACGGGAUUAUAUGAAUCCUUGGCACUGAGGUUCAAACGAUAAGAUCUUCGCAGAAUACGUGGGAUCCAAUAUGGGCAUCCAGGUCCCGCUAUUGGAUAUUGACCGAGGAGUCACUCGGGUCAUGUCUACAUAGUUCUCGGACCCGCAAGGUCUGCACACUUAAGGUUCGACGUUGUUUUAUGCGUAUUUGAGUUAUAUGGUUGGUUACCGAAUGUUGUUCGGAGUUCCGGAUGAGAUCACGGACGUCAAGAGGGUUUCCAGAAUGGUCCGGAAAUGAAGAUUGAUAUAUAGGAUGACCUCAUUUGAUUACCGGAAGGUUUUCGGAGUUACAGGAAAUGUACCGGGAAUGACGAAUGGGUUCCGGGUGUUCACCGGGGGGGGGGGCGAGGAACCCACCCCAGGGAAGCGCAUAGGCCUUGGGGGUGGCGCACCAGCCCUUGGUGGGCUGGUGGGACAGCCCAAGAGGGCCCUAUGCGCCAAGGAUAGAAAAUCAAAGAGAAAAGAAAAAAAAAGAGGUGGGAAAGGAGAGAAGGACUCCACUUUCCAAUCCUAGUUGGACUAGGAUUGGAGGAGGACUCCUCCUCCCCUUGGUGCACAACCCUUGGGGUUCCUUGAGCCUCAAGGCAAGCCUCCCCUUCCUCCUCCUAUAUAUAUGGAGCAAUUAGUGUUGAUUUGAGACGACUUUUCAAAGGCAGCCCGACCACAUACCUCCAUGGUUUUACCUCUAGAUCGUGUUUCUGCGGAGCUCGGGCGGAGCCCUGCCGAGAUCAGAUCACCACCAACCUCCGGAGAGCCAUCACGCUGCCGGAGAACUCAUCUACCUCUUCGUCUCUCUUGCUGGAUCAAGAAGGCCAAGAUCAUCGUCGAGCUGUACGUGUGCUGAAUGCGGAGGUGCCGUCCGUUCGGCACUAGAUCGUGGGACAGAUCGCGGGACGGUUCAUGGAACGGUUCGCGGGGCGGAUCGAGGGACGUGAGGACGUUCCACUACAUCAACCGCGUUCACCAACGCUUCUGCUGUGCGAUCUACAAGGGUACGUAGAUCGGAAAUCCCCUCUCGUAGAUGAACAUCACCAUGAUAGGUCUUCGUGCGCGUAGGAAAUUUUUUGUUUCCCAUGCGACGUUCCCCAACAGUGGUAUCAGAGCUAGGUUCAUGCGUAGAUGUCUUCUCGAGUAGAACACAAAAGGUUUUGUGGGCGGUGAUGUGCGUUUUGCUGCCCUCCUUACUCUUUUCUUGAUUCCGCGGUAUUGUUGGAUUGAAGCGGCUUGGACCGACAUUACUCGUACGCUUACGAGAGACUGGUUUCAUCGUUACGAGUAACCCCCUUGCUCAAAGAUGACUGGCAAGUAUCGGUUUCUCCUACUUUAGUUGAAUCGGAUUUGACCGAGGAGGUUCUUGUAUAAGGUUAAAUAGCAAUUCAUAUAUCUCCGUUGUGGUCUUUGCGUAAGUAAGAUGCGAUCCUACUAGAUACCCAUGGUCACCACGUAAAACAUGCAACAACAAAAUUAGAGGACCUCUAACUUGUUUUUGCAGGGUAUGCUUGUGAUAUGAUAUGGCCAAAGAUGUGAUGUGAUAUAUUGGAUGUAUGAGAUGAUCAUGUUGUAAUAGAUAAUAUCGACUUGCACGUCGAUGGUACGGCAACCGGCAGGAGCCAUAGGGUUGUCUUUAAACUAACGUUUGUGCUUGCAGAUGCGUUUACUAUUUUGCUAGGAUGGAGCUUUAGUAGUAAUAGCAUGAGUUGCACGACAACCCCGAUGGCGACACGUUGAUGGAAAUCAUGGUGUGGCGCCGGUGACAAGAAGAUCGUGCCAGUGCUUUGGUGAUGGAGAUCAAGGAGCACGUGAUGAUGGCCAUAUCAUGUCACUUAUGAAUUGCAUGUGAUGUUAAUCCUUUUAUGCACCUUAUUUUGCUUAGAACGACGGUAGCAUUAUGAGGUGUGCUUUCACUAAAAUUUCAAGACGAAAUUGUGUUUUCCCCGACUGUGCACCGUUGCUACAGUUCGUCGUUUCGAGACACCACGUGAUGAUCGGGUGUGAUAGACUCAACGUUCACAUACAACGGGUGCAAAACAGUUGCACACGCGGAACACUCGGGUUAAGCUUGACGAGCCUAGCAUGUGCAGACAUGGCCUCUGAACACAUGAGAUCGAAAGGUCGAUCAUGAAUCAUAUAGUUGAUAUGAUUAGCAUAGGGAUGCUUACCACUGAAACUAUACUCAACUCACGUGAUGAACCACUCAAAUGACUAGAGAGAUGUACUUUUUGAGUGGGAGUUUAGCAAGUAAUUUGAUUAAGUUAAACUCUCAUUAUCUUGAACAUAGUCUAAGUCCACUUUGAAUAUAUUUGUGUUGUAGAUCAUGGCUCACGCGACAGUCACCCUGAAUUUUAAUACGUUCCUAGAGAAAGCUAAGUUGAAAGAUGAUGGAAGCAACUUUGUAGACUGGGCUCGUAAUCUUAAGUUGAUCCUACAAUCUAGAAAGAUGGAUUAUGUCCUUAAUGAUGCGCUAGGAGAUGAACCACCCGCUACGGCUGAGCAGGAUGCUAAGAACGCUUGGUUAACACGUAAGCAGGACUACUCAGUAGUUCAAUGUGCAGUCUUGUAUGGCUUAGAACCGGGACUUCAACGUCGCUUUGAGCGUCAUGGAGCAUAUGAGAUGUUUCAGGAGUUGAAGUUUAUCUUUCAGAAGAACGCCCGGAUCGAGAGGUAUGAGACCUCCGAUAAAUUCUAUGCUUGCAAGAUGGAGGAGAAUUCGUCUGUCAGUGAACAUGUGCUCAAAAUGUUUGGGUACUCAAACCGUCUAGUUGAGCUGGGGAUUGAACUCCCGCAAGAGGCUAUCACCGACAGAAUUCUUCAAUCACUGCUGCCAAGCUAUAAGGGCUUUGUGUUGAACUACAACAUGCAAGGGAUGAACAAGUCACCCGGCGAGUUGUUUGCGAUGUUGAAAGUCGUAGAGUCUGAACUCCGUAAAGAGCAUCAAGUGUUGAUGGUGAAUAAGACCACUAGUUUCAAGAGAAACGGUGAAGGCAAGAAGGGAAAUUCAAAGAAGAGCGGCAAGCCUGUUGCCAAUCCGAUGAAGAAACCCAAAGCUGGACCUAAGCCUGAAACAGAGUGCUACUAUUCCAAGGGUAUGGGUCACUGGAAGCACAACUGCCCCAAGUAUCUGGCUGAUAAGAAGGCGGUGAAAGAAAAAUCAGGUAUAUUUGAUAUACAUGUUAUUGAUGUGUACUUAACCGGCUCUCGUAGUAGUGCCUGGGUAUUCGAUACCGGUUCUGUUGCUCAUAUUUGCAACUCGAAACAGGAACUGCGGAAUAGGCAAAGGCUGGCGAAAGAUGAAGUGACGAUGCGCGUAGGAAAUGGUUCCAAGGUUGAUGCAAUCGCCGUCGGCACAGUUUCACUUCAGUUACCAUCGGGAUUAGUUAUGAACUUGAAUAAUUGUUAUUUAGUGCCUGCGUUGAGCAUGAACAUUAUAUCUGGAUCUUGUUUAUUGCGAGACGGUUACUCUUUUAAGUCAGAGAAUAAUGGUUGUUCUAUUUCUAUGAGUAACAUCUUUUAUGGUCAUGCACCCAAUGUGAGAGGAUUGUUCAUAUUGAAUCUUGAUAGUGAUACACAUAUACAUAACAUUGAGACCAAAAGAGUUAGAGUUAACAAUGAUAGCGCCAAGUUUUGUGGCACUGCCGCUUAGGUCAUAUUGGUGUAAAGCGCAUGAAGAAACUCCAUACUGAUGGACUUUUGGAGUCACUUGACUUUGAUUCACUUGACACGUGUGAACCAUGCCUCAUGGGCAAGAUGACUAAAACUCCGUUCUCCAGAACAAUGGAGCGUGCCAGUGACUUAUUGGAAAUCAUACAUACCGAUGUGUGCGGUCCGAUGAGCGUGGAGGCACGCGGCGGAUAUCGUUAUUUUCUCACCUUCACUGACGAUUUGAGUAGAUAUGGUUAUGUCUACUUAAUGAAGCACAAGUGUGAAACAUUUGAAAAGUUCAAGCAAUUUCAGAGUGAAGUUGAAAAUCAUCGUAACAAGAAGAACAAGUUCCUACGGUCUGAUCGUGGGGGUGAAUAUCUGAGUUUCGAGUUUGGUGCUCACUUAAGACAAUGUGGAAUUGUUUCACAGUUGACACCGCCUGGAACACCACAGCGUAAUGGUGUGUUUGAACGUCGUAAUCAUACUUUCUUAGAGAUGGUGCGAUCUAUGAUGUCUCUUACCGAUUUGCCGUUAUCGUUUUGGUGUUAUGCAUUAGACACAGCUGCAUUUACUUUAAAUAGGGCACCAUCAAAAUCCGUUGAGACGACACCAUACGAACUGUGGUAUGGCAAAAGGCCAAAGUUGUCGUUUCUUAAAGUUUGGGGAUGUGAUGCUUAUGUCAAAAAGCUUUAGCCUGAAAAGCUGGAACCCAAAGCCCAAAAGUGCAUCUUCAUAGGUUACCCAAAAGAGACAGUUGGGUACACCUUCUAUCUCAAAUCCGAGGGCAAAGUGUUUGUUGCUAAAAACGGAGCUUUUCUCGAGAAGGAGUUUCUCUCAAGAGAAUUGAGUGGGAGGAAGAUAGAACUUGAUGAGGUUGUCGAAUCUCUGAUCCCUCUGGAUGGUGGCGCAGGGCAAGGGGAAGCCCCUGUCGUUGCGACACAGGUUGAGGAGGAAGUUAAUGAUGAUGAUCAUGAAACUCCGGUUCAAGUUCCUCUCGAACCACGCAGGUCGACAAGACCACGUGCUGCUCCAGAGUGGUACGGUAAUCCCGUUUUGUCAAUCAUGUUGUUAGACAACAAUGAACCUGCAAAUUAUGAAGAAGCAAUGGUGGGCCCAGAUUCCAACAAAUGGCUGGAGGCCAUGAAGUCCGAGAUAGGAUCCAUGUAUGAAAACAAAGUGUGGACUUUGGAAGUACUACCUAAGGGCCGCAAGGCUAUUCAGAACAAAUGGAUCUUUAAGAAGAAGACGGACGCUGACGGCAAUGUGACCGUUUAUAAAGCUCGACUUGUGGCGAAGGGUUUUUCACAAGUUCAAGGAGUUGACUACGAUGAGACAUUCUCACCCGUAGCGAUGCUUAAGUCCGUCAGAAUCAUGUUAGCAAUAGCUGCAUUUUUCGAUUAUGAAAUCUGGCAGAUGGAUGUCAAAACGGCGUUCCUUAACGGUUUCCUUAAGGAAGAGUUGUAUAUGAUGCAACCCGAAGGUUUUGUCGAUCCUAAGAAUGCUAACAAGGUGUGCAAGCUCCAGCGAUCCAUUUAUGGACUGGUGCAAGCAUCUCGGAGUUGGAACAAACGCUUUGAUGAGGUGAUCAAAGCAUUUGGGUUUAUACAAGUGGUUGGAGAAUCUUGUAUUUACAAGAAAGUGAGUGGGAGCUCUGUGGCGUUUCUAAUAUUAUAUGUGGAUGACAUAUUGCUGAUUGGAAACAACGUAGAGUUUUUGGAGAGCAUAAAGGAUUACUUGAAUAAAAGUUUCUCUAUGAAGGACCUAGGAGAAGCUGCUUACAUUCUAGGCAUUAAGAUCUACAGGGAUAGAUCGAAACGCCUGAUAGGACUUUCACAAAGCACAUACCUUGAUAAAGUUUUGAAAAGGUUCAAAAUGGAACAGUCCAAGAAAGGGUUCUUGCCAGUUUUACAAGGUACGAUAUUGAGUAAGACUCGGUGCCCAGCAACUGAUAAAGAUAGAGAGCAUAUGAGCACCGUCCCCUAUGCUUCAGCCAUAGGAUCUAUCAUGUAUGCAAUGUUGUGCACUAGACCGGACGUUAGUCUGGCCAUAAGUAUGGCAGGCAGGUUCCAGAGUAAUCCCGGAGUGGAUCACUGGACGGCGAUCAAGAAUAUCCUGAAGUACCUGAAAAGGACUAAGGAGAUGUUUCUCGUGUAUGGAGGUGAUGAAGAGCUCGCCGUAAAGGGUUACGUCGAUGCAAGCUUUGACACAGAUCCGGACGACUCUAAGUCGCAGACCGGAUACGUAUUUAUUCUUAAUGAGGGUGCAGUAAGCUGGUGCAAUUCCAAGCAAAGCGUCGUAGCUGAUUCUACAUGUGAAGCGGAGUACAUGGCUGCCUCGGAGGCGGCUAAGGAGGGUGUCUGGAUGAAGCAGUUCAUGACGGAUCUUGGAGUGGUGCCAAGCGCACUGAAUCCAAUAACCUUGUUCUUUGACAACAUGGGUGCCAUUGCCUUAGCAAAGGAACCACGGUUUCACAAGAAGACCAGACACAUCAAACGACGCUUCAACCUCAUCCGCGACUACGUCGAAGGGGAGGACGUAAAUAUAUGCAAAGUGCACACGGAUCUGAAUGUAGCAGACCCGCUGACUAAACCUCUUCCACGGGCAAAGCAUGAUCAACACCAGAACUGUAUGGGUGUUAGAUUUAUUACAAUGUAAUUCGCAUGAUGAUGUGAGGGCUAGAUUAUUGACUCUAGUGCAAGUGGGAGACGGUUGGAAUUAUGCCCUAGAGGCAAUAAUAAAUAUAGUUAUUAUUAUAAUUCCUGUAUCAAGAUAAUCGUUUAUUGUCCAUGUUAUAAUUGUAUUGAAUGAAGACUUAUAUACAUGUGUGGAUACAUAGACAAAACAUUGUCCCUAGCAAGCCUCUAGUUGGCUAGCCAGUUGAUCAAAAUAGUCCGGGUCUUCUGAUUAUAUACAAGGUGUUGUUGCUUGAUAACUGGAUCACGUCAUUAGGAGAAUCACGUGAUGGACUAGACCCAAACUAAUAGACAUAGCAUGUUGAUCGUGUCAUUUUGUUGCUACUGUUUUCUGCGUGUCAAGUAUUUGUUCCUAUGAGCAUGAGAUCAUAUAACUCACUGACACCGGAGGAAUGCUUUGUGUGUAUCAAACGUCGCAACGUAACUGGGUGACCAUAAAGAUGCUCUAUAGGUAUCUCCGAAGGUGUUCUUUGAAUUAGUAUGGAUCGAGACUGGGAUUUGUCACUCCGUGUGACGGAGAGGUAUCUCGGGGCCCACUCGGUAAUACAACAUCACACACAAGCCUUGCAAGCAAUGUGACUUAGUGUAAGUUGCGGGAUCUUGUAUUACGGAACGAGUAAACAGACUUGCCGGUAAACGAGAUUGAAAUAGGUAUGCGGAUACUGCAGAUCGAAUCUCGGGCAAGUAACAUACCGAAGGACAAAGGGAAUGACAUACGGGAUUAUAUGAAUCCUUGGCACUGAGGUUCGAACGAUAAGAUCUUCGUAGAAUAUGUGGGAUCCAAUAUGGGCAUCCAGGUCCCGCUAUUGGAUAUUGACCGAGGAGUCACUCGGGUCAUGUCUACAUAGUUCUCGAACCCGCAGGGUCUGCACACUUAAGGUUCGACGUUGUUUUAUGCGUAUUUGAGUUAUAUGGUUGGUUACCGAAUGUUGUUCGGAGUCCCGGAUGAGAACACGGACGUCGCGAGGGUUUCCGGAAUGGUCCGGAAACGAAGAUUGAUAUAUAGGAUGACCUCAUUUGAUUACCGGAAGGUUUUCAGAGUUACCGGGAAUGUACCAGGAAUGACGAAUGGGUUCCGGGUGUUCACAGGGGGGGGGGGCAACCCACCCCGGGGAAGCCCAUAGUCCUUGGGGGUGGCGCACCAGCCCUUGGUGGGCUGGUGGGACAGCUCAAGAGGGCCCUAUGCGCCAAGGAUAGAAAAUCAAAGAGAAAAGAAAAAAAAGAGGUGGGAAAGGAGAGAAGGACUCCACUUUCCAAUCCUAGUUGGACUAGGAUUGGAGGAGGACUCCUCCUCCCCUUGGUGCGCAGCCCUUGGGGCUCCUUGAGCCUCAAGGCAACCCUCCCCUUCCUCCUCCUAUAUAUAUGGAGCAAUUAGGGCUGAUUUGAGACAACUUUUCAAAGGCAGCCCGACCACAUACCUCCACGGUUUUACCUCUAGAUCGUGUUUCUGCGGAGCUCGAGCGGAGCCCUGCCGAGAUCAGAUCACCACCAACCUCCGGAGCGCCAUCACACUGCCGGAGAACUCAUCUACCUCUCCAUCUCUCUUGCUGGAUCAAGAAGACCGAGAUCAUCGUCGAGCUGUACGUGUGCUGAACGCGGAGGUGCCGUCCGUUCGGCACUAGAUCGUGGGACGGAUCGCGAGACGGUUCGUGGGACGGUUCGCGGGGCGGAUCGAGGGACGUGAGGACGUUCCACUACAUCAACCGCGUUCACUAACGCUUCUGCUGUGCGAUCUACAAGGGUACGUAGAUCGGAAAUCCCCUCUCGUAGAUGAACAUCACCAUGAUAGGUCUUCGUGCGCGUAGGAAAUUUUUUGUUUCCCAUGCGACGUUCCCCAACAGUGGUAUCAGAGCUAGGUUCAUGCGUAGAUGUCUUCUGGAGUAGAACACAAAAGUUUUUGUGGGCGGUGAUGUGCAUUUUGCUGCCCUCCUUAGUCUUUUCUUGAUUCCGCGGUAUUGUUGGAUUAAAGCGGCUUGGACCGACAUUACUCAUACGCUUACGAGAGACUGGUUUCAUCGCUACGAGUAACCCCCUUGCUCAAAGAUGACUGGCAAGUGUCGGUUUCUCCAACUUUAGUUGAAUCGAUUUGACCGAGGAGGUCCUUGUAUAAGGUUAAAUAGCAAUUCAUAUAUCUCCGUUGUGGUGUUUGCGUAAGUAAGAUGCGAUCCUACUAGAUACCCAUGGUCACCACGUAAAACAUGCAACAACAAAAUUAGAGGACGUCUAACUUGUUUUUGCUGGGUAUGCUUGUGAUGUGAUAUGGCCAACGAUGUGAUGUGAUAUAUUGGAUGUAUGGGAUGAUCAUGUUGUAAUAGAUAAUAUCGGCUUGCGCGUCGAUGGUACGGCAACCGGAAGGAGCCAUAGGGUUGUCUUUAAACUAAUGUUUGUGCUUGCAGAUGCGUUUACUAUUUUGCUAGGAUGUAGCUUUAGUAGUAAUAGCAUGAGUAGCACGACAAUCCCGAUGGCGACACGUUGAUGGAGAUCUUGGUGUGGCGCCGGUGACAAGAAGAUCGUGCCGGUGCUUUGGUGAUGGAGAUCAAGGAGCACGUGAUGAUGGCCAUAUCAUGUCACUUAUGAAUUGCAUGUGAUGUUAAUCCUUUUAUGCACCUUAUUUUGCUUAGAACGACGGUAGCAUUAUGAGGUGAUCUCUCACUAAAAUUUCAAGACGAAAUUGUGUUCUCCCCGACUGUGCACCGUUGCUAGAGUUCGUCGUUUCGAGACACCACGUGAUGAUCGGGUGUGAUAGACUCAACGUUCACAUAGAACGGGUGCAAAACAGUUGCACACGCGGAACACUCAGGUUAAGCUUGACGAGCCUAGCAUGUGCAGACAUGGCCUCGGAACACAUGAGACCGAAAGGUCGAUCAUGAAUCAUAUAGUUGAUAUGAUUAGCAUAGGGAUGCUUACCACUGAAAGUGUACUCAACUCAUGUGAUGAUCGGACUUGAGCUAGUGUAUGUGGGUACGUAUGAACUAUACUCAACCGCGUUCACUAACGCUUCUGCUGUGCGAUCUACAAGGGUACGUAGAUCGGAAAUCCCCUCUCGUAGAUGAACAUCACCAUGAUAGGUCUCCGUGCGCGUAGGAAAUUUUUUGUUUCCCAUGCGACGUUCCCCAACAGGGGCCACGGGAGGAGCCGGCGGAACAGCGGGGUCAUGACGGUGCUUGGUUCGGUGUUGUGGUGGUGAGGGUGACGAGCUCUGCUCUUCACUCUCCUCCUCCUCCUCUUCUGUUUCCUCCUCCGUCUCCCUACUGUCAGAGACGUACUCGGCACUAUCCGCGCUACCCUCCAUGCUGCCUUCUUCUUCCUCGAUCGGAUUCCCAUUUGAGACUACAGAAUGCCAGUUCGUCCACUCCUGCACAAAACACAGUUGGCAACGUCAGUCAGCGAGACAAGAGAAGCAAUAAAACUGAGAAGGAUAAAAGCAAUCGACAACAUGUACUCAGCUCCCACGGGGUUAUCACAUGUGCCCGUGAUGCUGCGGACCCACGCACUCACGGUCUCCUCGCUCACGUCUUCAGGAUGGGACCAAGUGGUAUCCGGAGGCCCCGUGUAAUGCCACAUAGCGUGGUCUCGGGCCUGAGCGGCUGGAUGCGUCGACCCAGAAAAGUCUCCAGCAGGUCCAUGCCGGUGACUCCCCUCCGGACGAUGGCUAUCAGCGCGUCGACCAAAGGUUGGAUCUGGGUUCUUUCUCCCUUAGAGAGCGCUAGCUUCCUGGGAGGGCCCGGACGGUCUAGACUGAAGGGUGGCAACCCACUCGAAGCAUUCGGGCAGGCAAUGUCCUGGCAAUAGAACCAGGACGAUUGCCAGUUCCUAACCGACUCGGAUAGCUGAAGUGAGGGAUAGCUACUCUUCGUUUUCUUCUGAAAUCCUAAACCCCCGCAGAGCUGGAGGAUGUGUGUCUUAUCAUCAGACUGGCUAAGCUUCUUAACAGUCUGAGAUCUAGCGGAGAAAACAUAUUUGAAGAGCCCCCAGUGGGGAGGACAUUCUAUGAAGCACUCGCAGAGGGUGAUGAAUGCGGAAAGAUGAGCUAUCGCAUUCGGAGGAAAGUGAUGGAGCUGCGCCCCGAAGUAAUUCAUGAUACCUCGGAAGAAAGGAUGGGGAGGCAAGGAGAAACCUCUGGCCACGUGGCUGAGCAGCAGAACGCGCUCCCCCUCCUUCGCCGCCAGCUCCGUCUCGCCUUCUGAUAGCCUCCAAGACUUGUUGACGACCAUGCCGUGCUCCACCAGCUCCAGCACGUCGUUCUCCGUCACCGUGGAGGGGAGGAAGUCCCCCUGGAUCCAGCCCGCCGGCAACGCCCGCUGCCGCCGCUGAGUGGAGGCCGCCCCCUUCUUCUUCUUCUUCGCCACGAGCUUGCUGGUCUGCCCCUUCGUCAUGGCGAGGGCGACGGAUCCGCAGAGGAGGAGAGGAAGGAGGUGGCUAGAGGUGCGCACGGAGUUGCGGGGAGGCGAGCUCGAGGGGAGGAAGAUGAGCAGCGCAACAGGAAGGGCCGUCGGGAAGGCUUUAAUAGGCCUCCGACUGAGUCACCUACAGGUGGGCCCAGGAUCUUAUCCUCCCAACCGGCUGCUGCAAGAUUAGUGGAGAAGAUCGCGGCGCGGUAAUCGAGGAGGCGAAAUCUACUCGAUGGCGAUGUCGUCAUCCCCGCGUCCCGCGCGGCAACCGAAAUUUGGGGAUCCCGGAAAAUACGGCGCUGUCAGUAUGACCGGUCACGUCGAAAGAUUCCGCAGAAGCAAUCGGUCCCUCACGGUUCAUUUCGCUUGCAUAUUCACUCGGAUCACUAGCCGCAAGGAUAAAAUGGAUCGAGGCACACAACGCUAAGAUCACCUCAAUACCAGUCGGCUCCAAACUCCGGACAUCACUUCAUCGUUCCAACCCCGAUCCAUUCGGGGACUAAUGAUGGGGUUAUAGUCCCAGGGUAGGGUCAUAGGUUUGCCCUAUAGGUCCUACCCAAGGACUACCCUUCAUAGAGGACAAAGCCCUUAGACAGUUCCGAUUGAACUAAGGGCGCCUCCAUCAUCCAGUCGGCGACGGUCCACUCGAAGCAUAUCUAACGUAGCGACUGGAAUUCACUCUGUACAUCGUAACCUCCCAGGAGAGCAACGGUCAUACAUUUUCAUACACCAUAACUAGCAUUUAAGGCUUACGUUACCAGUAACGCCAGCUUUUACUCACCACUACUCCACCCCUGUCCACCGGGCCAUUGUGAAGGGCAGCGCACUCUAUAUAAGCCGCCCUUCCUCACUGGUACAGGGGUUGGCACUUGCUGUAAUCCCACAAUACACUCGACACAAAGCUCCCAAGAGCACUGAGACGUAGGGCUUUUACCUCCACGGUAGAGGGACCUGAACUCAUACAUCCUCGCCGUAGCUAAGGCUUUGCCCAUAUACUUUCGUACCCCAUACUUCUACUGUCAGACUUAUACCCACGACACCGACGUUGGAGAUGCCCUAAACAGUCAACGACGAAUAGGUAUCGUGCAUAGCAGUUUGGUUGAUCUCAUGACGCAUCUUGGAUCGGCUCGACUUGCUCCUUUUUUUAAUAAGUUUGGGUUACAAACCACGUGUUGUACGUGGGGCUGUACUUGCUUCCUCAUAAGGGCAUCUUGAAUGGUUGUAAGAUUGUUGUCGGUAAAUUUUAACACAUAAGAUUUUUGAUGAUGUGACAUGCAAUAAAUGAGGAAAGAGAGCAAGGUUGUAUGUAAAUUAACCAACACCCUUGCACAAGCUCCAAUGUAGAAUGAGAUAUCACCUUAUUUAUUACCCCACAUCUUAUUGGGCAAACUAGAUACAAUCCAUUGGAGUAGUUCUAUGUUAAGGUGUUAGUUGAUGACAUGACAUGUUUUAUCAAUAAGCUAACCAACAAAUUGUUGGAGAUGCCCUAAGUCAUGUGCCAAUGCAUCGUCUCUUAUCACGUUAUUAUAGAACAUUAAUAAAUUAAGAUACAACGAUGUCAAUGCCUUAUUUCUUAUGAGUUGUAUCUAUAUUUAACGAUUUGGGAUAUUGGAUGCAUAUAUCUAGUUAAAAACUGGCAUUGACAGACGCCUAAUGUACUACGCGAGGGGAUCCGACUGCGGCCACGGCAACGACCAGCAGCAGGCUGGACAGCAUUGCAGCAGAUCACAGAUCUGAAUGUGAGAGAAGUUAUUGCUUCUUAGAUCUGGUAGUGGGUAAAGAUUUAUUCAGGAA